rnacentral:rRNA from 1 species
UACGUAGGGUGCAAGCGUUGUCCGGAAUUAUUGGGCGUAAAGAGCUCGUAGGCGGUCUGUUGCGUCGGCUGUGAAAACCCGGGGCUCAACCCCGGGCCUGCAGCCGAUACGGGCAGACUAGAGUUCGGCAGGGGAGACUGGAAUUCCUGGUGUAGCGGUGAAAUGCGCAGAUAUCAGGAGGAACACCGGUGGCGAAGGCGGGUCUCUGGGCCGAAACUGACGCUGAGGAGCGAAAGCGUGGGGAGCGAACAGG